rnacentral:rRNA from 1 species
GACGAACGCUGGCGGCGUGCCUAAUACAUGCAAGUAGAACGCUGAAGGGAGGAGCUUGCUCUUCUUGGAUGAGUUGCGAACGGGUGAGUAACGCGUAGGUAACCUGCCUUGUAGCGGGGGAUAACUAUUGGAAACGAUAGCUAAUACCGCAUAACAAUGGAUGACACAUGUCAUUUAUUUGAAAGGGGCAAUUGCUCCACUACAAGAUGGACCUGCGUUGUAUUAGCUAGUAGGUGAGGUAAUGGCUCACCUAGGCGACGAUACAUAGCCGACCUGAGAGGGUGGUCGGCCACGCUGGGACUGAGACACGGCCCAGACUCCUCCUGGAGGCAGCAGUAGGGAAUCUUCGGCAAUGGGCGCAAGCCUGGCCGAGCAACGCCGCGUGAGGGAAGAAGGUGUUCGGGUCGUAAAGCUCGGUUGUAAGUCAAGAACGGGUGUGGGAGUGGAAAGUUCACACUGUGACGGUAGCUUACCAGAAAGGGACGGCUAACUACGUG